rnacentral:rRNA from 1 species
AGCGAACGCUGGCGGUGGGCCUAACACAUGCAAGUCGAACGGCAGCACAGUAAGUGCUUGCUCUUACGGGUCGCGAGACGCGGACGGGUUAGGAAUGCAUCGGAAUCUACUUUUUCGUCGGGCAUAUCGUAGGGAAACUUACGCUAAUACCGCAUACGACCUACGGGUUAAAGCAGGGGAUCUUCGGACCCUGCGCGAUUGAAUGCUCGGAUGUCCGGUUAGCUAGUUGGCGGGGUAGAGGCCUAACCACGCCACGAUCCGUAGCUGGUCUGAGAGGAUGAUAAGAUGGCCUGGAACUGAGAGACGGUGAAGCGUCCCAGGGGAGGACGCGGGGGGGAAUAGUGGACAAUGGGGGAAAGCGUGAUAGAGUCACACCGCGUGGGUGAAGAAGGGAUGCGGGUUGUAAAGCUCUUAUGUUGGGAAAGAAAAGCAGCAGGUUAAGACCCCGCGGUUUUGACGGUACCGAAUGAGUAAGCACCGGCUAACUUUGUG